GCUACUUCUCAGUGAAGCACUGGUAAAAAUCAGCAACUAAAAAUGUUGUUAAAGGGUUAACAGAGGAGUGAUGUUGUGAUGGCUUCCUGAUGGUGUAGUUUCAGAAAGAGCGGGAGUUUUUAAAGAGACAGAGGCCCAAUUUUGAAGCAUAAAAUUACAAAGUCAAAUUUCUUUUAAGUCA